rnacentral:rRNA from 1 species
GCUAAGUGAGGGGAGGAGGCCGCGGGAAGAGGGGGGUUGGGAGGGUGAAACGGAGUUAGUGGGCGGAAGGGGGGGGGAGGUGGGUAAUUAAGUCAAAUGUUAAAGCCCCGAGCUGAACUGUGGAAUUGCAUUCGAUACUGGUUGGCUAGAGUAUGGGAGAGGAUGGUAGAAUUCCAGGUGUAGCGGUGAAAUGCGUAGAGAUCGGGAGGAAUACCGAUGGCGAAGGCAGCCAUCUGGCCUAAUACUGACACUGAGGUGCGAAAGCAUGGGGAGCAAACAGGAUUAGAUACCCGGGUAGUC